rnacentral:ncRNA from 1 species
AUAUCCUUCGUUAAGGUAUCGGACGAGUAGGCUACGAGACUUAGGUUAAAAGGGUACCUAGACGGUUAAUAUAGCUUAUAUAAUGUUAGUACUUAACUAGAGUUUUAUAUAAGAGGGGAGUUCUUAAGGAGGAGAGAUAAAAUUCUUUAAUACUAAAGGGACUUAGUAAAGGCGAAGGCACCCCUUUAGGUAAAAACUAACGUUAAGGGACGAAGGCAUAGAGAACAAAUAGGAUUAGAUACCUAAGUAGUCUUUGCAGUAAAUCAUAAAUGCUAUAUAUUAGAUAAAGAAUUUAAUAACUUAGUUCGUUAGUAAAUAAUUAAUAUUAAAUCUUAUUUAGUCUAUAAAUGAAAGUAUAAGCAUUCUACCUAAAGGGUAAUAUAGCAACGCAGGAACUAAGAUUACUAGACCGUUUCUAACAAUAGUAGUGCAGUAUAUUAUUAAAUUCGAUAAUAUAGGAAAAUUCUUACUUCAAUUUGUAUAAUAAUAUUAUAGGAGUUACACGGCUGUUUUUAGUUAAUGUUGUAAAACUAUGGUUUCUAUGUAAUUAACGAAAUUCUAGGCUGUUUUUUUAGAUGCGCUAGUCCCUCCGGGACUAGCAAGCCCUUUUUUAACUUAUUUUAGUUAUAAAGCGUAUAAAAGCGCUCUUAGAAUAAAAAAAGAGCUUGCGCCUUAAAAACGAUUUUUAGGGCUCGCUACUACGAUAAGGCAUUAGAUCCUAGAUAUUUAGAUAGAAAAAGAGUAUAAAGACAAGUCAUUAUAGCUUUUAUAUUAUAGGCUAUAAACGUGCUAUAUCUUUAUAGAUAAAGAGAUGCAAAAAUGUAAAUUUAAGCUAAUCUUAAAAAAUAGGAUAAAGAUUUUAAGGAUUAUAGUCUAAAAUUCGACUAUAUAAAAAAGUAAUUACUAGUAAUCGUAAAUUACUAUAUUACGGUGAAUUACUCUCGGAUUAGUACUAACCACUCGUGAUAUACUAAAAAGAGCUUAAGCAAUAAGUUUGCCUUCUAAGUAAUUAGUAAAAGAAACAUAUAGGUUUUAUAUAGAUAUAUUAUCUAUAAAUAGCACUAAAGCUGUCUAUUAUUAGGAAUCUUUGUAUACGCGGUUCUAAUUAGUAUUAAGUCGAAAUACGGUUUAUAUAGUAGAAGUUGCACGGGAUUAAUUAAUAU